AGUAAAUGUCUGUUUUCACAUUGGUUGUUUGUUAGUGUCUUUAUACCUCAUUAUCUUGUAAUUUGAUAAUUUGUGGGUAGAAAAUGGAUAGAAAAAGAAAGGUCAUAGGAUGCAUGUGUGGGCGUGGGUUUUUGGAGCAUUGAACUUGGAACCAUUUAAAGUUUUGAGAGCUGAGAAAGACUGAAGAGAGAGGAGAGAAGACAUUUGUGGGGCGACUGAGGAACACUCUUAGCUGUCUUAACCCCUACAGAUCGAAAUUCAUAUCAUGGAUUAUGGGAUUGAAAUGAAUUUCCAAAGAGGAUGGAUCUUUUUGGUCCUUUUCCUAAGUUCCAUUUUGCAUGACCCUCGUUGGCCUUCCCCUGUCCCUUCAUCGUUUUUUUCUGUUCAUAAGGAUCCACAGAUUUGAUGUUACGGUACAGAGAACCACUGUCGUGUGUUGAUAGACCAAUUACAUUAUAACGAGGUGUUCGAUUGUCUAGUUUCAUAUGUCGAAGUUAGAUUGAAUUUUCGUUACGGUGGAGAGAACCACUGUCGUGUGUUGAUGGACGGACCAAUUACAUCAACGAGAUGUUCAAAUUUCUAUAUUAUCUUAAUGCAUAUGUCGAAGUUAGAUUGA